UACGUAGGGGGCGAGCGUUGUCCGGAAUCAUUGGGCGUAAAGCGCGUGUAGGCGGCCCGGUAAGUCCGCUGUGAAAGUCCAGGGCUCAACCCUGGGAUGCCGGUGGAUACUGUCGGGCUCGAGUCCGGAAGAGGCGAGUGGAAUUCCUGGUGUAGCGGUGAAAUGCGUAGAUAUCUGGAGGAACACCGGUGGCGAAGGCGGCAUCCUGGACCGAGAUUGACGCUGAGGCGCGAAAGCCAGGGGAGCAAACGGG
rnacentral:rRNA from 1 species